rnacentral:sRNA from 1 species
AUGGCUGUCGUCAGCUCGUGUCGUGAGAUGUUGGGUUAAGUCCCGCAACGAGCGCAACCCCUGUCCUAUGUUGCCAGCGGGUAAUGCCGGGGACUCAUAGGAUACUGCCGGUGACAAACCGGAGGAAGGUGGGGAUGACGUCAAGUCCGCAUGCCCCUUAUGUCUAGGGCUACAAACGUGCUACAAUGGCCGGUACAAAGGGCUGCAAUGCCGCGAGGUGGAGCGAAUCCCAAAAAGCCGGUCCCAGUUCGGAUUGGAGGCUGAAACUCGCCUCCAUGAAGUCGGAGUUGCUAGUAAUCGCGGAUCAGCAAUGCCGCGGUGAAUACGUUCCCGGGCCUUGUACACACCGCCCGUCACACCACGAAAGUCGGUAACACCCGAAGCCGGUGGGCCAACCCGCAAGGGAGGCAGCCGUCGAAGGUGGGAUCGGUGAUUGGGGGUGAAGUCGUAACAAGGUAGCCGUACCGGAAGGUGCGGCUGGAUCACCUCCUUUCUAGGGAGUACGGCAGCACUAACCGCCGUGAGCACAGGCUCCAUAUGUUCGCGAUGACGUGGCCUUCGGGCUUUCCCAUCGCGGCCGGGGUCUGUCCUCUAGAACUCUAUGUCGACCACUCGCGUUCUCGCGGACCUCCGGCCUGGCCGGCGGCGAGCGGCCUCAUUCCUGUUCAGUUUUGAAAGAUCCAGAGGUCUCCGUGCCGCUCCCCGAGCGAGGGAUAGUCCCGGUCGUGAGAACCCUGUAAGGUGCGUCUCACACCGCGCCCUCCGGAGGUCGAGCAUGGAUACGAGCAAGCUGUCGCGGAACGACUGGAUCGUCGUCGCCGGCAUGGCCCUUAUGUUUCUCGCCAUGCUGCUGGCGCGUCUGGACGCAGCGGCAGUCGUCGCUUGGCUUCUCUCGCUUCUGACCGCCUUCCUGGUGGUCGUCAAGGCGGUCCCCGGCGCCAAGCUGGAGCUGCCGUUCUCGGUGGGGGUGCUGGUGAUGGCUCUUGGAGUCGCGGCCCUGCUGGUCGUGCUCUUCAGCCCCGAUGCGGGCGCGUUCGUCGGCUUCAUUGCCGCGCUCGUGAUCGUGUUCGGCGGCUUCCUCAAGAACGCGGAGACCUCCUGAAGCUUCGUCGGUAGAGCCGGCGGGCCCGAGCCUUACGGCUCGAGCUCAAAGGUUCGCGCCGGCGACGUGCCGGCACGCCGGCGCGAACCUUGAAAACUGCAGAGUGGCAAAGAAGUUCUUUUGGUCAAGAUAAUAAGAGCCAUUGGUGGAUGCCUUGGCGCCAGGAGUCGAUGAAGGACGUGGCCGGCUGCGAUAAGCUUCGGUGAGGUGCUGAACAACCUAUGACCCGGAGAUUUCCGAAUGGGGAAACCCGG